ACGAACGCUGGCGGCGUGCCUAAUACAUGCAAGUAGAACGCUGAAGGAGGAGCUUGCUUCUCUGGAUGAGUUGCGAACGGGUGAGUAACGCGUAGGUAACCUGCCUGGUAGUGGGGGAUAACUAUUGGAAACGAUAGCUAAUACCGCAUAAUAGCAGUUGUUGCAUGAUAACUGUUUGAAAGGUGCAAUUGCACCGCUACCAGAUGGACCUGCGUUGUAUUAGCUAGUUGGUGGGGUAACGGCUCACCAAGGCGACGAUACAUAGCCGACCUGAGAGGGUGAUCGGCCACACUGGGACUGAGACACGGCCCAGACUCCUACGGGAGGCAGCAGUAGGGAAUCUUCGGCAAUGGACGGAAGUCUGACCGAGCAACGCCGCGUGAGUGAAGAAGGUUUUCGGAUCGUAAAGCUCUGUUGUAAGAGAAGAACGAGUGUGAGAGUGGAAAGUUCACACUGUGACGGUAUCUUACCAGAAAGGGACGGCUAACUACGUG
rnacentral:rRNA from 1 species